UACGGAGGGUGCGAGUGUUAUCCGGAAUUACUGGGUUUAAAGGGUGCGUAGGCGGCCCUGUAAGUCAGUGCUGAAAUAUCCCAGCUUAACUGGGAGGGUGGCAUUGAUACUGCGGGGCUAGAGUACAGAUGAGGUAGGCGGAAUUGACGGUGUAGCGGUGAAAUGCUUAGAUAUCGUCAAGAACACCUAUAGCGAAGGCAGCUUACUAGGCUGUAACUGACGCUGAGGCACGAAAGUGUGGGGAUCAAACAGG
rnacentral:rRNA from 1 species